rnacentral:rRNA from 1 species
UACGGGGGAUGCAAGCGUUAUCCGGAAUCAUUGGGCGUAAAGCGCCUGUAGGUUGCUUGAUAAGUCUGUCGUUAAAGCUUAGGGCUCAACCCUAAAAAAGCGAUGGAAACUGACAAGCUUGAGUAUGGUAGGGGUAGAGGGAAUUUCUAGUGUAGCGGUGAAAUGCGUAGAUAUUAGAAAGAACACCGGUGGCGAAGGCGCUCUACUGGACCAUUACUGACACUCAGAGGCGAAAGCUAGGGGAGCAAAAGGG